rnacentral:rRNA from 1 species
GGGGAAUAUUGGGCAAUGGAGGCAACUCUGACCCAGCAACGCCGCGUGAAUGAUGAAGUCUUCGGAUUGUAAAGUUCUUUUCUAAUGGAAGAAGAAAGUGACGGUACCUUAGGAAUAAGCCUCGGCUAACUAC